AAGGCAUCCCAGAUAUAAAUAAAGCGACAUCCCCAGAUCUUGUUUGCUCCACAAUAUUUAGAAAGGGGGUUCAAAAACCAUAAACGAAAAAGAAAUUAAGAGAAACCAAAAAAGAAAAAAGAAAAAAAAAGGACGAUGUAAAUACAUUCCUUCCUAGACAGACCAAAUAUACAUUAGGGAAAAGAAAUUUAGGGACCUGAAUUUACAAAACGGUGUUGAUAUGGAGUGCUUUAAGGAGAGAAGUAGCCAUCUGUUUAACCAACACUUGGCCUCCAGAACGUUGCCCAUCUCUGCGCUCCUCAAUCAGAUUCUG
rnacentral:lncRNA from 1 species